UAUGGCGACCGGCGCACGGGUGAGUAACACGUAUCCAACCUGCCGAUGACUCGGGGAUAGCCUUUCGAAAGAAAGAUUAAUACCCGAUGGCAUAGUUCUUCCGCAUGGUAGAACUAUUAAAGAAUUUCGGUCAUUGAUGGGGAUGCGUUCCAUUAGGUUGUUGGCGGGGUAACGGCCCACCAAGCCUUCGAUGGAUAGGGGUUCUGAGAGGAAGGUCCCCACAUUGGAACUGAGACACGGUCCAA
rnacentral:rRNA from 1 species